CCUACGGGGAGCAGCAGUGAGGAAUAUUGGUCAAUGGACGAGAGUCUGAACCAGCCAAGUAGCGUGAAGGAUGACUGCCCUAUGGGUUGUAAACUUCUUUUAUAUGGGAAUAAAAUGUUCCACGUGUGGGAUUUUGUAUGUACCAUAUGAAUAAGGAUCGGCUAACUCCGUGCCAGCAGCCGCGGUAAUACGGAGGGUCCGAGCGUUAUCCGGAUUUAUUGGGUUUAAAGGGAGCGUAGGUGGAUUGUUAAGUCAGUUGUGAAAGUUUGCGGCUCAACCGUAAAAUUGCAGUUGAAACUGGCAGUCUUGAGUACAGGAGAGGUGGGCGGAAUUCGUGGUGUAGCGGUGAAAUGCUUAGAUAUCACGAAGAACUCCGAUUGCGAAGGCAGUUCACUGGACUGCAACUGACACUGAGGCUCGAAAGUGUGGGUAUCAAACAGGAUUAGAUACCCGGGUAGUC
rnacentral:rRNA from 1 species